AUUCAUUUCGCAACACCUACGGCUUCCACUAGAUGUCAACGAUCUUUAUAAAGUUGUUUGAAGCGUCUAUGAUAAACAGAGAGCAAAUUAGAAUCCAAGGAAGUUGACAUGUCAUCACUUCAUUUUUUUGCGCCUGCGCAUAAAUCUAAGAGACGUGAGUUUGUCAUCAUUUUUUAUCUAGACAUAGGAUAGGUUGUGUGAAAAUAUUACUGAUGUUUAACGUUAAAAAUGGACCAAAAGAUUAAUGCUAAACAACAUUUGACAUGUUUGAACGAACAUAAAUAGAUUAUUUACUAGGUUUUUUUAGCUUUUCGGCGUGAUUUUACCAGCCCCACACCACGUUUUGUGGGAGCAUAAUGAACGCUAAGUACUUGGUGUUAUUUGGACAUAAAUUAUGAACUUUGUCAAAAGAAACCACAUUUGUUCCGGACCUGGAAUGCCUUCCGGACCUGGGAUCCUGCCUUCUGAUGGAGAUAAUCAAAGGUGUCAAAUCGCAUCUCUGCAUGUCUGGCAGACAUAUCAGUGUGGAUGACGAUCACCACCUCAAGCUGAACCUCGGCAAGACAGAGCUGCUCUUCCUCCCGGGGAAGGACUGCCCGUUCCAUGAUCUCGCCAUCACGGUGGACAACUCCAUUGUGUCCUCCUCCCAGAGUGCUAAGAGCCUUGGCGUGACCCUGGACAACACCCUGUCAUUCUCCGCUAACAUCAAGGCGAUGACCCGAUCCUGUAGGUUCAUGCUAUACAACAUUCGCAGGGCACAACCCUGCCUUAUACAAGAAGCGGUGCAGGUCCUAAUCCAGGCACGUGUCAUCUCCCGCCUGGAUUACUGCAACUCCCUGUUGGCGGGGCUCCCUGCCUGUGCCAUUAACCUGUUGGGGCUAGGGGGCAGUAUUUUCACGGCUGGAUAAAAAAACGUACCCGAUUUAAUCUGGUUACUAAUCCUACCCAGUAACUAGAAUAUGCAUAUACUUAUUAUAUAUGGAUAGAAAACACCCUAAAGUUUCUAAAACUGUUUGAAUGGUGUCUGUGAGUAUAACAGAACUCAUUUGGCAGGCAAAACCCUGAGACAUUUUCUGACAGGAAGUGGAUACCUGAU
rnacentral:lncRNA from 1 species